AUACUCCUGACUGACCGAUAGUGAACCAGUACCGUGAGGGAAAGGCGAAAAGAACCCCGGCGAGGGGAGUGAAAAAGAACCUGAAACCGUGUACGUACAAGCAGUGGGAGCACCCUUUGGGGUGUGACUGCGUACCUUUUGUAUAAUGGGUCAGCGACUUAUAUUCUGUAGCAAGGUUAACCGAAUAGGGGAGCCGGAGGGAAACCGAGUCUUAACCGGGCGUUAAGUUGCAGGGUAUAGACCCGAAACCCGGUGAUCUAGCCAUGGGCAGGUUGAAGGUUGGGUAACACUAACUGGAGGACCGAACCGACUAAUGUUGAAAAAUUAGCGGAUGACCUGUGGCUGGGGGUGAAAGGCCAAUCAAACCGGGAGAUAGCUGGUUCUCCCCGAAAGCUAUUUAGGUAGCGCCUCGUGAAUUCAUCUCCGGGGGUAGAGCACUGUUUCGGCUAGGGGGCCAUCCCGGCUUACCAACCCGAUGCAAACUGCGAAUACCGGAGAAUGUUAUCACGGGAGACACACGGCGGGUGCUAACGUCCGUCGUGAAGAGGGAAACAACCCAGACCGCCAGCUAAGGUCCCAAAGUCAUGGUUAAGUGGGAAACGAUGUGGGAAGGCCCAGACAGCCAGGAUGUUGGCUUAGAAGCAGCCAUCAUUUAAAGAAAGCGUAAUAGCUCACUGGUCGAGUCGGCCUGCGCGGAAGAUGUAACGGGGCUAAACCAUGCACCGAAGCUGCGGCAGCGACACUCAGGUGUCGUUGGGUAGGGGAGCGUUCUGUAAGCCUGCGAAGGUGGCCUGUGAGGGUUGCUGGAGGUAUCAGAAGUGCGAAUGCUGACAUA
rnacentral:rRNA from 1 species